CCCUAGGUGCCGGAAUGGGUGGAUCCCACACAACGGCAACUGCUACUCGUUUUCGAGAAACGAAGUCAGCUGGUCCACCGCAAACUCUAUAUGCGGACACUACGGAAGUCUGGCGUCAAUAACGAGCUCGAGGGAGAACAAUGUCAUCACAAGUCUCAUCGCGAAAUCCCCUACGAAAGAGGUGUGGAUUGGACUCCGUAGACGUAAAAAAAGGGUUUGGUGGACCGAUGGGUCAGGUGUCACCUAUAUGAACUGGGCACCUGGUGAGCCUAACAACCACGUCAGUUGGAUCCUAUCUACAGAGGAAGAGUGCGUUUGCAUGUAUGCCAGGAGUGGUAGGAAAUGGCCAAACAAGUGGUGGACAAGAGGAGAAUGGAACGACAUCAGGUGCAACAAUGAAUUCAGUUUCAUUUGCAAAGCUAGACCAAUGAGGUUUUAAACUACUCGUAAUAAGUUGAUGGGACUUUGUUUUUAAUUUUGUCUAUCUAAGCAACACAGAAGUAUUUUCUUAAUUUACAGUGUUGUUGCCAGAUAUAUGUAACAAAAAUACAAAACGUAAUUUGUGACAGCAGGUUGUUGUAAGAUUUAUUAUUUUACUGUAAAGAAAAAUCCGUGUGCACCUUAGACUGCUCAACUUGGAAAUUGUUUGUGGUCAGUUUUGAACCUGGUUCGAAGCAAACUUUGUUACCACUGCCAUAUGCUCCGACAUCCCUACUGUCUGACACCCCUACGUUCCCACAUCCCUACGUUCUGACACCACUAUCACUAUUUUCUAAAUCUAUUUAUUUGCAAAUUCAUGCCCAAAGGCGAACUGCAAGGGUA